GCCCAAGCGGCCCCACCCCACCUGCAAAGUCUGUACAGGCCAGAGGAGGAGCAGAGUAGCUCAGCAGCAGGCAGAUGGUGGAGGUUUGGCUAGAGACCUAAAUGAACUCCCAAGAGCAAGGAAAACUCAGGAAGGGACUGUACCUGAUGGCAGAAAGGUUUUAUGUGACUAGUUGGGUAAUUCCAGAUUUGUUUUACUUUACAAGAACAAAGGCACAGAAGAAGCAGCCAGCUCUAUUGGUUAUCGCCUAUUUCCUGAUAUGCUGUGCUUCAACUGGACUUCCAUACACUUCAACAAGUCAUGCAGAGGACUAGAGCAUGGGAUGAAAUUCAUCCCUCAUGUUAUAAAAUUGAAAUGAUAGCAAAUUUGUCCCAUGGUCAAACUGCAGGCCAUGUAAAGUGCUCCUUCUGCUCAACACAGUUAGUCAGAGUACAUUCCUGAUAAACCCUGGUAAAAAUGGGCAUUUUGCCUUCUAAAAGCAGCUCCUAAAUUCCCUAGAUCCUUCUGCAGGCUUGAUCCCUCACAUACCUUUCAUUGGAGGAAUCAUUCAUGUUCAUGUUACUAGCUAUUAAUAAAAAUAUUUUUGUAGUCCUAUUAUUUUACAUUGUUUUUCCAUCCAAGAAAAAAAAAGGUGGAAAAAAAUGAUUCCUUUUUUAUAGAGACCCCCACACAUUGUAUUUCUCUGCAUUUAUGUCUGAC